CAGCCGCCACGGGAAUACGAAGGGUGCAAGCGUUACUCGGAAUUACUGGGCGUAAAGCGUGCGUAGGUGGUUGUUUAAGUCUGCUGUGAAAGCCCUGGGCUCAACCUGGGAAUUGCAGUGGAUACUGGGCAACUAGAGUAAGGUAGAGGAUAGUGGAAUUUCCGGUGUAGCAGUGAAAUGCGUAGAGAUCGGAAGGAACAUCUGUGGCGAAGGCGACUAUCUGGGCCAUUACUGACACUGAGGCACGAAAGCGUGGGGAGCAAACAGGAUUAGAUACCCGAGUAGUCCCUGUCUCUUAUAA
rnacentral:rRNA from 1 species